UACAGAGGGGGCAAGCGUUGUUCGGAAUUACUGGGCGUAAAGCGUGCGCAGGCGGUUUUGUAAGUCUGUCGUGAAAUCCCCGGGCUCAACCUGGGAAUUGCGAUGGAGACUGCAAGGCUAGAAUCUGGCAGAGGGGGGGUAGAAUUCCACGUGUAGCAGUGAAAUGCGUAGAGAUGUGGAGGAACACCGAUGGCGAAGGCAGCCCCCUGGGCUAACACUGACGCUCAUGCACGAAAGCGUGGGGAGCAAACAGG
rnacentral:rRNA from 1 species